GCGGGUGUAGUUCAAUGGUAGAACGUCAGCCUUCCAAGCUGAAUACGGGAGUCCGAUUCUCCUCACUCGCUCCA
rnacentral:tRNA from 1 species